rnacentral:rRNA from 1 species
CUAACACAUGCAAGUCGAACGGUAACAGGAAGCAGCUUGCUGCUUUGCUGACGAGUGGCGGACGGGUGAGUAAUGUCUGGGAAACUGCCUGAUGGAGGGGGAUAACUACUGGAAACGGUAGCUAAUACCGCAUAACGUCUUCGGACCAAAGAGGGGGACCUUCGGGCCUCAUGCCAUCAGAUGUGCCCAGAUGGGAUUAGCUAGUAGGUGGGGUAAUGGCUCACCUAGGCGACGAUCCCUAGCUGGUCUGAGAGGAUGACCAGCCACACUGGAACUGAGACACGGUCCAGACUCCUACGGGAGGCAGCAGUGGGGAAUAUUGCACAAUGGGCGCAAGCCUGAUGCAGCCAUGCCGCGUGUAUGAAGAAGGCCUUCGGGUUGUAAAGUACUUUCAGCGAGGAGGAAGGCGUUAAGGUUAAUAACCUUAGCGAUUGACGUUACUCGCAGAAGAAGCACCGGCUAACUCCGUGCCAGCAGCCGCGGUAAUACGGAGGGUGCAAGCGUUAAUCGGAAUUACUGGGCGUAAAGCGCACGCAGGCGGUCUGUCAAGUCGGAUGUGAAAUCCCCGGGCUCAACCUGGGAACUGCAUUCGAAACUGACAGGCUAGAGUCUUGUAGAGGGGGGUAGAAUUCCAGGUGUAGCGGUGAAAUGCGUAGAGAUCUGGAGGAAUACCGGUGGCGAAGGCGGCCCCCUGGACAA